CUCUCCUAUCACAAUGUGCAAUAUAUGCUCAGUGACAGAGAAGAGAUUCUUUAUUAUACAAGGCUUCAGCUGAGGGGUGGAACGCUGCUGACUAAACAUCGCUUUACUGGUGGUCUGCACCAUAAAAUGUCCCAGCAAAGGAAGAUAAAAAGUUUUUUCCGUCUUCCUUUGGAGCUGACCCUUUCUAGGCAACUUCACAACAAACAUCUUCUUAAAGAGUGAAAAAAAAGCAUACCUGCUGAUUGGAAUUCAUUGAGCUUAUGUUGGACUGUGGGACUUUGGAAAACUAUGUAGCAGUGAUCACAGAAUGGCAGUCACCUUCAGCAAAAUAACCCAGGAACAACACCACGUGUAGUAUAAAUGACAGGUUUUUGAUGCUGAACAUAUAUACUCAACAUUUCCAUUAAGCUUCUACAUGAAACCAUGAUGAAGGUGACUGCUGAUUUAUGGAACUCUUCCUCAGAUAUCAGGCUCACGGUUUCCAAAGCUGGUAAGAAAUCAAAACAAGAAGUGGUCCACAACAUAAAUAUUUUACUGAAGUUACUACACUCAAGGCAAGCCCUAUUGCGAGUCUCCAUUGACAAAUAAUACCAUCUGCAGAAGUCUACCAGAAUAUGGAUAGCAGCAUUUUGUACAAGAUGCUGCAGUAGACACUGUCCUACAAAGUGUGGCCCUUUACAACACAAAAUAGGGAAGACUUCAAGAAACUGCCCAUUGAAAUCAACAGAAGUCUUUCAGUGACUCCUCUUCUAAUUCAGCUGAAAAUAAACAUAUUUACCGCAAAAUAAUAAGUGAUUGCUGGAAGUUCUAUUAACUGAAAAAUACCAUAUGGGUUCAGCUU